rnacentral:rRNA from 1 species
GACGAACGCUGGCGGCGUGCUUAACACAUGCAAGUCGAACGAAGUUGCGAACGUGUGAAUAAUACGUGAGUAACCUGCCCUCCUUUGUGGGAUAAGCCUUUGAAACGUGGUCUAAUACCGGAUAAAGGGGUAUGGGCUCGCGGCAUAUCAGCUUGUUGGUGGGGGGAUGGCCUAGCAAGGCGUUGACGGGUAGCCGGACUGAGAGUGUGACCGGCUACAUUGGGACUGAGAUACGGCCCAGACGCCUAAGGGAGGCAGCAGUGUGGGAUAUUGCACAAUGGGAGAAAGCCUGAUGCAGCGACGCCUAGUGGGGGAUGAAGGCUUUCGGGGUGUAAACCUCUUUCGCUAUAGAACGGGUAGGUGGAGAAGAAGCGCCUGCUAACUACGUGCCAGCCGCCGCGGUAAUAC